rnacentral:rRNA from 1 species
UACAGAGGGUGCAAGCGUUAAUCGGAAUUACUGGGCGUAAAGCGUGCGUAGACGGUUGCGUAAGUCAGAUGUGAAAGCCCCGGGCUCAACCUGGGAAUUGCAUUUGAGACUGCGUAGCUAGGGUGCGGAAGAGGGAAGCGGAAUUUCCGGUGUAGCGGUGAAAUGCGUAGAUAUCGGAAGGAACACCAGUGGCGAAAGCGGCUUCCUGGUCCAGCACCGACGUUCAGGCACGAAAGCGUGGGGAGCAAACAGA